rnacentral:rRNA from 1 species
CGAACGGGUGAGUAACGCGUGAGGAACCUGCCUCAAAGAGGGGGACAACAGUUGGAAACGACUGCUAAUACCGCAUAAGCCCACGGCUCGGCAUCGAGCAGAGGGAAAAGGAGUGAUCCGCUUUGAGAUGGCCUCGCGUCCGAUUAGCUGGUUGGUGAGGUAACGGCCCACCAAGGCGACGAUCGGUAGCCGGACUGGGAGGUUGACCGGCCACAUUGGGACUGAGACACGGCCCAA